AAGUCGUAACAAGGUUUCCGUAGGUGAACCUGCGGAAGGAUCAUUAAUGAAAUAACUAUGGCAUUGGUUGUAGCUGGCUUCUAGGAGCACUGUGCACACCUGCUAUUUUUAUCUUUCCACCUGUGCACUUAAUGUAGCCCUGGAUAUCUCUCACUCUUAGUAUGAGUGGAUGCGAGGAUUGCUGGGUCCAAAAAGCCGAGCUCUCUUUGAAUUUCCAGGACUAUGUAUCUUUACACACCCCAAUCGUAUAAUGAAGAAUGUAGUCAAUGGGCUUUUGUGCCUAUAAAAUAAAUACAACUUUCAGCAACGGAUCUCUUGGCUCUC
rnacentral:misc_RNA from 1 species